rnacentral:rRNA from 1 species
AUUGAACGCUGGCGGCAUGCCUUACACAUGCAAGUCGAACGGUAACAGGUCUUCGGAUGCUGACGAGUGGCGCACGGGCGAGUAAUACAUAGGAACGUGCCUAGAAGUGGGGGAUAACUACCGGAAAGAGUGGAUAAUCCCGCAGGAGAUCUACUGAUGAACGCAGGGAAUCGCAGACCCUUGUGCUAUUAGAGCGCUCGAUGGCAGAUUAGGUAGUUGGUGGGAUAGAAGCUUACCAAGCCGACGAUCUGUAGCUGGUCUGAGAGGACGAGCAGCCACACUGGGACUGAGACACGGCCCAGACUCCUACGGGAGGCAGCAGUGGGGAAUUUUGGACAAUGGGCGCAAGCCUGAUCCAGCAAUGCCGCGUGCAGGAUGAAGGCCUUCGGGUUGUAAACUGCUUUUGUACGGAACGAAAAGCCCCGGGUUAAUACCCUGGGGUCAUGACGGUACCGUAAGAAUAAGCACCGGCUAACUACGUGCCAGCCGCCGCCGAA